rnacentral:RNase_P_RNA from 1 species
CCGAUUCACAGGUAGCUACGGAGCCUAGAGCUCCGAGGAAACACCGCCCUCUACAUGGAUCCGGAGCUCUGUAAGGAGCCGGGGUAAAACUCCGGGCUCUGGCACAGAAACGACAUGUCCAUAAACCAAUGAAGAUGAUGCGGUGAGGAUCCCCAGGUAACUGGGGGUCGGUCAACCCGUUGAUGAGGUUUAUGGGAGCAGUGAAACGGCCAACCUCCGGAGAGUAAGGUUCAAUCUCUAUGAGUUCCAUGCGAGAGAUUGAGAAUCCGCUUAGCCAAAUGCUACCGAAUACAAAAGGCGGGUUACUGUGGAUCGG